GCAUUCUGCAUCUUGAUGCAAAAGAACCCGUUCAGUUGUCGAGGUUCCAUUGUUUGAUAUAGGAAUCAUCAAUCCUGCUCCUGCUAUUGUCUUUUGUCUGUCACUUCGUUCAGCAUAUUUGUAUCUCGGAAGGAUGCUAAUAUCUGCAUCUGAGGCCCCUUCCUGUCCUGCUACAGCAUAAAGGAUAGCGAUAAUGCAUGGCAAACAACAACACAGCGCGAUCCCGAUUACACAAGCCAGUGUCACACAGAAGAUAGCAAAGAAUACGUCGAAUGCUAGAAAAACUAUAGCCAACCAGUAGAGCUUAGGAGCACAUUGUACGAGAGUAUCACCACCAGAGAUGACCCAAUAAAAUCCAACAAUCCACCAGAGAAAUGAAGCCAUUGUAUUAAGAGAUUCACAUCUUUUGGCAAUACUGUAGUGAUUCCCUGACACACCGGGCUCGUCCUCCUCCUCCUCGCUAUCAAU
rnacentral:misc_RNA from 1 species